AAGACCCCGUGAACCUUUACUAUAGCUUGACACUGAACAUUGAGCCUUGAUGUGUAGGAUAGGUGGGAGGCUUUGAAGCGUGGACGCCAGUCUGCGUGGAGCCAACCUUGAAAUACCACCCUUUAAUGUUUGAUGUUCUAACGUAGGCCCCUAAUCGGGGUUGCGGACAGUGUCUGGUGGGUAGUUUGACUGGGGCGGUCUCCUCCCAAAGCGUAACGGAGGAGCACGAAGGUUAGCUAAUCCUGGUCGGACAUCAGGAGGUUAGUGCAAUGGCAUAAGCUAGCUUGAC
rnacentral:rRNA from 1 species